GUCCACAUGGCAUGCACAAAAGUGAUUUGAGAUGGUUCUAUAUCCAAUGCUACCCCCUCCGGGUGUGCCCGGCUUCUCGGACAUGGGGUUCCUACACUUAGGCAGAUUCUGCGUGUAUAGGGGGGAACUCCCUCGGAGGUGAACCGGAGAGAACCUUGGGAUCAUAGGGGAUGGUACUUGUUUCCACAUGUACCUAUGACCUAACCAAGCUCAAACGCAGGCAUACGCCCACCGGGGGAACCCCGAUGGGACGCAGUCAAAGGGGUAGACGGCGCGGUCAACAGAACUAGGGUUUCGUCAGAAAUCGAGCAUCGCACGUAGGGAAUGGCCCCAAAAGUUGUGUGUGUCCACAUGGCAUGCACAAAAGUGAUUUGAGAUGGUUCUAUAUCCAAUGCUACCCCCUCCGGGUGUGCCCGGCUUCUCGGACAUGGGGUUCCUACACUUAGGCAGAUUCUGCGUGUAUAGGGGGGAACUCCCUCGGAGGUGAACCGGAGAGAACCUUGGGAUCAUAGGGUAUGGUACUUGUUUCCACAUGUACCUAUGACCUAACCAAGCUCAAACGCAGGCAUACGCCCACCGGGGGAACCCCGAUGGGACGCAGUCAAAGGGGUAGACGGCGCGGUCAACAGAACUAGGGUUUCGUCAGAAAUCGAGCAU